rnacentral:piRNA from 1 species
UGGGAGACUAAUUUAGCCUUGGCCUGAAAU